GUCUCUCUGAAGGCAUCUGAUAAAAUUUGAACUGUACUGAGUAGAUUAGUUGGGCCCCUGGGCAAUGAUGACACACCCUAAUCAAGUUAAGAAAAGGCUUUUG